GAGGAUAGUUUUGUAUUUCCACUCAUCAACAUGGUUACUUACUACAUUAUGAGUAUUAUGGUGUUACUUUCUUAAU
rnacentral:sRNA from 1 species